CCUACGGGGGGCUGCAGUGAGGAAUAUUGGUCAAUGGGCGCUAGCCUGAACCAGCCAAGUAGCGUGAAGGAUGACUGCCCUAUGGGUUGUAAACUUCUUUUAUAUGGGAAUAAAGUGCAGUAUGUAUACUGCUUUGCAUGUACCUUAUGAAUAAGGAUCGGCUAACUCCGUGCCAGCAGCCGCGGUAAUACGGAGGAGCCGAGCGUUAUCCGGAUUUAUUGGGUUUAAAGGGAGCGUAGGCGGGUUGUUAAGUCAGAUGUGAAAGUCUGCGGCUCAACCGUAAAAUUGCAGUUGAUACUGGCAGCCUUGAGUGCAGGAGAGGUAGGCGGAAUUCGUGGUGUAGCGGUGAAAUGCGUAGAUAUCACGAAGAACUCCGAUUGCGAAGGCAGCCUGCUGGACUGUAACUGACGCUGAGGCUCGAAAGUGUGGGUAUCAAACAGGAUUAGAGACCCUAGUAGUC
rnacentral:rRNA from 1 species